UAUCGAAGUCCCAAUCUACUUAGAGCAGUCAUACUUUUUAUCCAGGAGAAAGAAAAUUACAAUGUGACUUUCAUCACAAUGAAACAAUAUAUGCAAUUCAAAGACUAAUUUCUUGAAAAAUGGCAGAACAAGUCCCAAAUAAAUCAGAAAAUGAGACACACACACACAGAACUAUGCUUCUCACUUCUAGAGUUAUUUGUCAAUUCUGCAGAAACAGCGUUGGUUAAAAAGAACGAAGAAUUGAAGGCUCUUGAAGUUUCUUGAUUUAGCUAUCGGCUUACCCCACAGGUGAAUUUGUGAUAAGAAAUUGGGAGUUUCAGAGGCCGUGAAGAAAUCGAGCACUACUUCACAGAGUCGCUGCAUGGUGGACAUUAUAUGGAAGCAAGACACCAAAUCUACAACGCCUCGCUAUUCAAGUGUUGAACCUCACAUGUAGCUCAUCUGGUUGAGAGCGCAAUUGAAGUGCAUUUGAGCAUUAUAACGAGCGGCUUAAGGAGAGGUAAAAAAAUCGCACGAAGCUCAACCCCAUUCAAUUAUAUGAAGCUGAAGGUGAUUCCAUAAGUGAGUGGACCAUGGAUCCAAGACAAGAGCGUGUGUUUGA